rnacentral:rRNA from 1 species
GAAAACUGCCCGGGAUAACCGGAAGGAAGGUGGGGUCGACGUCAAGUCAGUAUGUCCCUUACGCCUAGGGCUACACACGUGAUACAAUGGGAAGUACAAAGGGUCGCAAUACCGCGAGGUGGAUGCCAAUCCCAAAAAACUUCCCCAAGUUCAGAUUGCAGUCUGCAACUCGACUGCAUGAAGCAGGAAUCGCUAGUAAUCGUGGAUCACAACGCCACGGUGAAUACGUUCCCGGGUCUUGUACACACCGCCCGUCACGCCAUGGAAGCCGGUAGUGCCCAACGCCAGUGUCCCAACCUUCGGGAGGGAGCUGUCUAAGGUAAGAUCGGUAACUGGGGCGAAGUCGUAUCAAGGU